UAAAAAGGUACAUAAGGGCACUGAUAGUGGAUGCCUUGACAUUUACAACCGAUGAAGGCCGUAGAACUCUGCGAUAAGCUUCGGGGAACUGAGAACAAGUUUUGAUCCGGAGAUAGCCGAAUGGGGAAACCUAAUACGAGUCAUGUCGUAUUGCCGUUACCUGAACACAUAGGGUAAUGAGACGGGAACCAGCCGAACUGAAUCAUCUUAGUAGGUUGAGGAAAAGAAAAUAACCAAUGAUUCCGAAAGUAGUGGCGAGCGAAAUUGGAACAGUCCAAACCUUAAGAUAACCUUACGGGUUUACGCCCAGAGUUAUUAAGGGUGUUGCGUGUUUACACAAUUUUUAUGCUGAGCAGUUAAUUCAUUUGACCGUUCGGCAUAAAAACCAACAGCGUAAACUGAGUGGAUAAGUAUCGUAGUUGUUAGCGGAAGCGUUUGAAUGGCGCGCCAAAGAUGGUGAAAGCCCAGUAUGCGAAAACAACUAUUGAACUUAUAUGUGUUUUCACAAGUAGGACGGGGCACGAGAAACCCUGUUUGAAUCCGGCAGGACCACCUGCCAAGACUAAAUAUUGUAAAUGAUCGAUAGCGAACUAGUACAGUGAUGGAAAGGUGAAAAGAACCCCGGGAGGGGAGUGAAAUAGAUCCUGAAACUCAGUGCCUACAAGGUGUCGGAGCAGACUUCGGUCUGUGACGGCGUGCUUUUUGUAGAACGAUCCAGCGAGUUAAUUUUGUCGGCGAGGCUAAGUCAGAUGAUGGAGCCACAGUGAAAGCGAGGGUGAAUAGCCCGUCUAGUCGGCAGGAUUAGACCCGAAACCGGGUGACCUAACCAUGAGCAGGUUGAAGCUGCCGUAAGAGGUAGUGGAGGACCGAACCGGGGUACGCAGUAAAGUGCUCGGAUGACUUGUGGUUAGCGGUGAAAUGCCAAUCGAACUCGGAGAUAGCUGGUUCUCCUCGAAAUAGCUUUAGGGCUAGCGUCAUGUAGUAGCUUUUGGGGGUAGAGCUCUGAAAAGGCUUGGGGCGAGCAAUCGUACCCACCCUUAUCAAACUACGAAUACCGAAAGUGUAAUCAUGGCAGUCAGAACGGCGGGGCUAAGCUCGUCGCUCAAAAGGAAAACAGUCCAGACCAUCGUCUAAGGUCCCUAAUUAUAACUAAGUGGGAAACAAGGUGAGAUUUCUUAAACAGCUAGGAUGUUGGCUUAGAAGCAGCCAUUCAUUUAAAGAGUGCGUAACAGCUCACUAGUCAAGAGAUUUUGCGUGGAAAAUGUAACGGGGCUCAAGUUAUAAACCGAAGACAUGGAUUGUUAUUAUGAUUCGUCAUAGUAGCAGUGGUAGAGGAGCGUUGAUAUCGCGGUGAAGUCAGAUCGGAAGGUCUGGUGGAGCGUUAUCAAGUGAGAAUGCUGGAAUCAGUAACCUUAAGACAUGUGAGAAUCAUGUCGGUCGUAAGAGCAAGGUUUCCAGGGCCACAGUAAUUGUCCCUGGGUUAGUCGGUCCUAAGCUGAGGCGUAUUAGCGUAGGCGAUGGACAACAGGUUAAUAUUCCUGUACUUGUAGUAUUUGUCAACAGUUCACGGAGAACAUCUAGGAGCGGAUUCAUGGUAUAUAUCCGUCCAAGUCUCAAAGGAAUUUGAGAUGAGUGAAAGUUAUCCUUCGGGAUGACGAUUCCUGGGCAGGCUCUGGCUAGAAAAGCUGGCUGACUCAUGGUGCUGCAAACCGUACCGCAAACCAACACCGGUGCUCGAGUCGAGUAGACUAAGACCUACGAGAGAACCUUCGCUAAGGAACUCGGCAAAAAAGCGUCCGUAACUUCGGAAUAAGGACUGCCCGCCUAUUAAGGCAACAAUUGCUAAGUUAUCUCAGCGAGAAUUCGUUAAGAUUACUUUGUGUAUCUUAUGUAAAAUCGAAUUUCUUUGUUGAGACAGAACACUAAUCUGUUCUUUAACUUAGCGCCCAAUUAUUGUUUUAAUAGGCGGGCCGCAGCUAAAGAGCCCACGGAACUGUUUACCAAAAACACAGGUCUCUGCUAACGCGAAAGCGGAUGUAUAGGGGCUGACUCCUGCCCAGUGUCGGAAGGUUAAGGGGAGAACUUCACGGUUCGAACUGAAGCCCCGAUGAACGGCGGCGAUAACUAUGAUCGUCCUAAGGUAGCGAAAUUCCUUGUCUGGUAAGUUCAGACCCGCACGAAUGGAGUAAUCAUGUGGGCACUGUCUCGGCGAAGGCCUCGGUGAACGUGCAUUGGCGGUAAAGAUGCCGUCUGAUCAUGCCAGGACGAGAAGACCCCAUGGAGCUUUACUACAACUUUGCAUUGAUUAUUGGGAUAUUUUGUGUAGAAUAGGUGGCAGACUUUGAAACAGAUACGCUAGUAUUUGCGGAGUCGCAAUGUGAAAUACCACCCUGAGUAUUUUAGUAAUCUCUACAGUGACCAUAAUCUGGUUACUGGACCGUGCAUGGCGGGUAGUUUAACUGGGGCGGUUGCCUCCUAAAGAGUACCGGAGGCGUUCAAAGGUUGGCUAGUCACGGAUGGAAAUCGUGACGAUAGUGUAUGCGCAAAAGCCAGCUUGACUGCGAGGGCUACAACCCAAGCAGACACGAAAGUGGGAGCAAAUGACCCGCUGUAUAGAUCUUCGGAUCAAUUUACGUGGGAAAGACAGCGCACACGGAUAAAAGUUACCCUGGGGAUAACAGGCUGAUCGCGCCCAAUAGUUCACAUAGACGGCGCGGUUUGGCACCUCGAUGUCGGCUCAUCACAUCCUGGAGGGGGAGCACCUUCCAAGGGUCCGGCUGUUCGCCGGUUAAAGUGGUACGCGAGCUGGGUUCAGAACGUCGUGAGACAGUUCGGUUUAUAUCCGGCAUGAUCGUUAGGAAUUUUGAGGAGAUUUGCCCUUAGUACGAGAGGACCGGGGUGAACGAACCGCUAGUGUAUCGGUUGUGGCCACCUGCUGCAUUGCCGAGUAGCUAUGUUCGGUAUAGAUAAGCGCUGAAAGCAUAUUAAGCGCGAAACUGACUCCAAGAUUAGAAUUCCCUAUGACCUCCCAGAGAGAUGAUCUGGUUGAUAGGCGCAAGGUGGAAGUAUGGUAACAUAUGGAGCCGAAGCGUACUAAUAGAGGCAUUGCCUUUUUAUG
rnacentral:rRNA from 1 species